GAGGGCUGCUAUGACUUUUCCUUCGCUUAAUGCCCAGCGUCUGAUAUGAGCACCGGGUAAUGAAGCCGAUUCAAAACAAAAACCAUUAUCCAAAACCCUAAUUUCUCCACUUCCACCACCAAUCUUCUAUACCUCCGUAUUCAUUUUCCCCUUUCCAUCUUUUCUUCACAAAACCCUAAUGGCCUAAUCUGACUCACCAAUCGUCAACCUCUUCAAUUUGUGAUGUUUACUCCGGAGUACAAGGGCAGUUUGGCGACACUACGUUGACCAAGGUCUUCAUGAUUUCAUUCGGUUCAGCAUUGAACAGGAUAUCUGGUUUGGAAAACUUACAAGAGGUGAUUUUACCGCUGAUAAACCAAGGACGGGGUUGUCGGGGCUGUUGCGGUCGAAAGGAUAAAGAACAUUAUUCAAGCGGGUUAGAAUUAAUACAAUAUAAUGGAAUUCCACGUGCGUUGUUACGGACAUCGGCCGAAAUCAGUUUGGUUUGUUAGAAUAUCGGUACAAUGUCGGUCAGUAUAGCAACCGAAAGCGAUAUGCCCAAUGGGAUAUCAACACGUGUUUUGCAUUGAAUGAAAAUCAUAAAAACAAAUACUGGUAUCAGUUAUGAA